GAUUUCUGACUUGGCGCACCUGGCCCGCCACGGUUACGUGUGUGAGUGCUGGGCUGCGCCUGUCACUGUUCUGGUCAACUAUUAUGCACUUCAUUGGGUGUGAUAGGUAGCCAGAUAUUUUACUUUGAAAAAAUUAGAGUGUUUAAAGCAGGCGUUUGCUAUGAAUACAUUAGCAUGGAAUAAUAAGUUAGGACUUCGGUUCUAUUUUGUUGGUUUCUAGGACUGAAGUAAUGAUUGAUAGGGAUAGUUGGGGGUGCUAGUAUUCAGCGGCCAGAGGUGAAAUUCUCGGAUUCGCUGAAGACUAACUUAUGCGAAAGCAUU
rnacentral:rRNA from 1 species